GGGCGAGUGGCGGAACGGCAGACGCGCACGGCUUAGGACCGUGUGCCGAAAGGCGUGGGGGUUCGAGUCCCCCCUCGCCCA
rnacentral:tRNA from 1 species